UCCCAGACUCCUACGGGAGGCAGCAGUCGGGAAUAUUGCGCAAUGGAGGAAACUCUGACGCAGUGACGCCGCGUAUAGGAAGAAGGUUUUCGGAUUGUAAACUAUUGUCGUUAGGGAAGAUACAAGACAGUACCUAAGGAGGAAGCCCCGGCUAACUAUGUGCCAGCAGCCGCGGUAAUACAUAGGGGGCAAGCGUUAUCCGGAUUUAUUGGGUGUAAAGGGUGCGUAGACGGAGAAACAAGUUGGUUGUGAAAUCCCUCGGCUCAACUGAGGAACUGCAACCAAAACUAUUUCCCUUGAGUGUCGGAGAGGAAAGUGGAAUUCCUAGUGUAGCGGUGGAAUGCGUAGAUAUUAGGAGGAACACCAGUGGCGAAGGCGGCUUUCUGGACUGUAACUGACACUGAGGUACGAAAGCGUGGGGAGCAGACAGGAUUAGAUACCCGGGUAUA
rnacentral:rRNA from 1 species